rnacentral:rRNA from 1 species
AUGCUGGCGGCGUGCCUAACACAUGCAAGUCGAGCGGCAGCGAGUUUUACACUGAAUUCUGGAAGCUUCUGGGUAAUAUAGAAGAUUUAUUCAAGAAUUUUGUGUAAAAUGUCGGCGAGCGGCGGACGGCUGAGUAACGCGUAGGAAUUUACCUCAAAGUGAGGAAUAACUGCCCGAAAGGGUAGCUAAUGCCGCAUAUGGUCUUCGGAUUAAAGCCUUCGGGCGCUUUGGGAGAAGCCUGCGUUGGAUUAGGUAGUUGGUAGGGUAAUGGCCUACCAAGCCGACGAUCCAUAGCUGGUCUGAGAGGAUGAUCAGCCAGACUGGAACUGAGACACGGUCCAGACUCCUACGGGAGGCAGCAGUGAGGAAUCUUCCACAAUGGGCGAAAGCCUGAUGGAGCAACGCCGCGUGAAGGAUGAAGGCCUUCGGGUUGUAAACUUCUUUUAUGAGUGAAGAAUAUGACGGUAACUCAUGAAUAAGCACCGGCUAACUACGUGCCAGCAGCCGCGGUCAUACGUAGGGUGCGGGCAUUAUCCGGAGUGACUGGGCGUAAAGAGUUGCGUAGGCGGUUUAAUAAGUGAAUAGUGAAACCUGGUGGCUCAACCAUACAGACUAUUAUUCAAACUGUUAAACUCGAGAAUGGUAGAGGUAACUGGAAUUUCUAGUGUAGGAGUGAAAUCCGUAGAUAUUAGAAGGAACACCGAUGGCGUAGGCAGGUUACUGGGCCAUUUCUGACGCUAAGGCACGAAAGCGUGGGGAGCGAACCGGAUUAGAUACCCGGGUAGUCCACGCCGUAAACGAUGGAUACUAGCUGUUGGAGGUAUCGACCCCUUCAGUAGCGAAGCUAACGCGUUAAGUAUCCCGCCUGUGGAGUACGGCCGCAAGGCUAAAACAUAAAGGAAUUGACGGGGACCCGCA